GUAAACUGUGAGUUGUAUAUGUU
rnacentral:siRNA from 1 species